UGGCGGACGGGUGAGUAACGCGUGGGUAACCUGCCCUGUACAGGGGGAUAACAGUCAGAAAUGACUGCUAAUACCGUAUAAGACCACAGCACCGCAUGGUGCAGGGGUAAAAACUCCGGUGGUACAGGAUGGACCCGCGUCUGAUUAGCUGGUUGGUGAGGUAACGGCUCACCAAGGCGACGAUCAGUAGCCGGCUUGAGAGAGUGAACGGCCACAUUGGGACUGAGAGACGGCCCAAACUCCUACGGGAGGCAGCAUG
rnacentral:rRNA from 1 species